GGGAGCCUGCGGCUUAAUUUGACUCAACACGGGGAAACUCACCAGGUCCAGACAUGACGAGGAUUGACAGAUUGAUAGCUCUUUCUUGAUUUCAUGGGUGGUGGUGCAUGGCCGUUCUUAGUUGGUGGAGUGAUUUGUCUGGUUAAUUCCGAUAACGAACGAGACCUUCCCGUGCUAAAUAGCCCGGCCGGCGCUCGCCGGUCGCCGGCUUCUUAGACGGACUAUCAGCGAACUAGCUGGUGGAAGUUGGAGGCAAUAACAGGUCUGUGAUGCCCUUAGAUGUUCUGGGCCGCACGCGCGCUACACUGACAGAGCCAGCGAGUGCGAGAAAUUCACCUAGGCCGAGAGGUCCGGGUAAUCUUGUGAAACUCUGUCGUGCUGGGGAUAGAGCAUUGUAAUUAUUGCUCUUGAACGAGGAAUUCCUAGUAGGCGCGAGUCAUCAGCUCGCGUCGAUUACGUCCCUGCCCUUUGUACACACCGCCCGUCGCUACUACCGAUUGAACGGCUUAGUGAGGUCUUCGGAUCGGCUUUGGGGAGCCGGCGACGGCGCCCUGUCGCCGAGAAGUUGAUCAAACUUGGUCGUUUAGAGGAAGUAAAAGUCGUAACAAGGUUUCCGUAGGUGAACCUGCGGAAGGAUCAUUAAAGAGGGGGGGAUCCACUGGGUCCGCCCGCCCGUCGACUGCGUGUCAAAGUACACGUGUGUUCUCUGAAUUGCGUCAGUCGUGUCUUGAUCUCAAAAACAAAAGGUAACGAACAAUACUGAGUGAAAUUUAUAUUUACAGUCGCGGUAAGUCAUGUGUGACAAUCGACAUGUGAGUAUAUAUGACGCCGCCGGCCUGUUCAACAGGCCCACCGAUGAGGCGCCGCCGGGGGUGCGACGCCUCAGCGGUGGGUCCCCCACACAUACCCUCUAUGAUGCAUGUUUAAUGUUGAUAUUUUAUUCACAAUAAAUACAACUUUCAACAACGGAUCUCUUGGCUUUCGCAUCGAUGAAGAACGCAGCGAAAGUGCGAAACGUAAUGUGAAUUGCAGAUUCAGUGAAUCAUCGAAUCUUUGAACGCAUCUUGCGCUUCCCAGGUCACCUGGGAAGCAUGCCUGUUUGAGGGUCUCUGAACAGCGAUCGAGGCCCCCCCUGGUCAUUUUGACCUGGGGAGGCGUCGGAUUUUGGAUGCUGCCGUCGGUGUAUACGUCCCGCUUUUGGGUUCGUGAAGAAGGCUCAUCUUGAAAUGCAUUGACGUGACCUCCCCUCGUUGUCGCAAAGGCGUGAUAGUGAUAUUCGUCCGGGGCUCGAGAACGGCGUCACGUAUGAAAAAGGGUACACGCGACGCACUCGUGGCGUUGCUGCGUCCCCCCUUAACGUGCGACCUCAAAUCAGGUAGGACUACCCGCUGAACUUAA
rnacentral:rRNA from 1 species